rnacentral:pre_miRNA from 1 species
AGAGGUACAGCUGGGUCAAAUGGUGGUUCCCUUCCAAGCUCUCCAAGGAAUCUCCAUACUGCUUUCCAAAUUGGUUGCACCAAUUUGCAGUCCCACCAGCAGU